rnacentral:tRNA from 1 species
GGGGCUGUGGCUCAAUGGAAGAGCCUCUGUAUCGCGUGCAGAGGGUCUCAGGUUCAAUCCCCAGCAUCUCCA